rnacentral:rRNA from 1 species
UACAGAGGGGGCAAGCGUUGUUCGGAAUUACUGGGCGUAAAGGGCGCGUAGGCGGCCUGUUAAGUCGAACGUGAAAUCCCCGGGCUCAACCCGGGAACUGCGUCCGAUACUGGCAGGCUUGAAUCCGGGAGAGGGAUGUGGAAUUCCAGGUGUAGCGGUGAAAUGCGUAGAUAUCUGGAGGAACACCGGUGGCGAAGGCGGCAUCCUGGACCGGUAUUGACGCUGCGGCGCGAAAGCCAGGGGAGCAAACGGG